rnacentral:rRNA from 1 species
GACAGAGGUGCCGAGCGUUAGGCGGAAUCACUGGGCUUAAAGCGUGUGUAGGCGGCCCGUUAAGUGUCUUGUGAAAUCCCCCGGCUCAACCGGGGAACUGCUGGGCAUACUGGGCGUCUUGGGCCAACUAGGGGCAGCCGGAACAAGCGGUGGAGCGGUGAAAUGCGUAGAUAUCGCUUGGAACGCCGAAGGUGAAAACAGGCUGCUGGGGUUGCGCCGACGCUGAGACACGAAAGCCAGGGGAGCAAACGGG